GUCUCAACUCUAUCCCUUUGGAGAGAAUGUGUUUUCAUGAUCAUAUUUUUAUUCUUGUUUAUAAAAAUCAGUCUUUCCCAACUCAGUAUCCAAAACCUGGGCUUCAGAUUCAGACCCAAGUGUGAGUUCUAGCUCUUCCCCUUCAAACUGUGUGAUCUUGGGCAAGUUACUUUAUCGAAUUUCCUUGAUAGGGAAACUAACCCUACUUCAUGCUGUCGUUGGGAGAGCCCCAUGUGAUGAGUGCACGUCGUACGGGCCUGGCCCAAAGCAAGCGUUUGAGAAACAGUAGCUCUAAUUAAUAAAUAUAUCUACAGUGUAGGAGAUUUGACACUCUGGUUGCUUAUUUGUGGAUAAUUUUCUCUCUUUUAGCAUCUCCUGGUUUGGGAAUUACAGCCAUGCGUAUGGAUCAUUGAAACUAUAGGUUUCCACGUGCAAAAAACAAACCAGAAGUGUUUACUAGUGUUCAUUGCUUGCCACUUACCGUGGCAAAUAUUGGAUGAUAGAAGACUUGCCUCCACUCUCUGCACCUCAGUUUAUUCAUCUGUGAAGUGGACGUAACAGUAGCAUCUAUUGCAAGAGGUUGUUAAAAAGCAAACAAGACAGAACAGAGAACCGAGACACAGACUCACGCAGAUACGCCCAAUGGAAUUUUGACAAGGUUGCGGAAGAAACUGAACAGAGGAAAAUGGCUUUUUCAAGUUCCCGGUGCUGAAGCAAUUGGACAUCCUUUGGGUGUGGGGCCCCGGGCGGUGGGGGAAGACCUUCCUUAGUCUUGCAUCAUAUACAAAAAUACACUCAAAACAGAGUGUGGCCUUAAAUGGAAAAUGGAAAGCUAUAAAACCUUUAGAAACAAACAUAAGGAAAAAAAGCUUGAGGAUCUAGGGCUAGCAAGUUCUUACAGCUGACACCAAAAGCAUGACCCAUAGAAGGAAAAAUAGAUAAAUUGGACUUUCUCAACAUUGAAAAGUUUGCUCUGCAAAAGCAAAACAAAAAAGCCCGUGAACACAAUGAAAAGCAAAGCUACAGACUGGGAAAAAAUAUCUCAAGUUGUGUACUAAUAAAGGCUAGUAAUCUACAAUAUAUAAAACUCAAAAACUCAAAACUCAAGAGU